rnacentral:lncRNA from 1 species
AGGAAACAUAGCCUGGCUCUGUGAAGGAAUACUGCUGUGACCGCAAAACUGUUUCUGUAGAAUUUUCUCCGGUGUGGUCAUCCUGCCUUCAGGAGGAAAAUAGAGCAAAAAGGUAGAACUUACUUCCACACCCAAGUUUCUCCUGAAAGCACUGUGCCUGUUUUGUUUGCUACACAUCUUGGUGAAUUGAAAGAAGGUAACCUUUGGAUGUAUAUAUUUUAGUGCUCCAGCAGAUUACCAGUGAAACAUGCCGACUCUCACCAAACCACCCCAUGUUGCCAAAUCUUCUCUCUUGGCCCUGAUGAUGUGCAACUUAAAACCAAGGUCCAGGUUGACUGCACAGCAGAGUUUACUGUUCGCUCUCUCGCUCUCUCUCCUCUCUCUUUUUUUCUGUAAGCCCAAUAAAUCUGCCCUAUCACGUCAUUGAGGCCACAAGGAAAUGUAAUCCUGCCAAGUGUGGGAGUUAACAAAAACUGCCAAAGUCUUAAGGUUGCAGAGAGAGCAAGAACCACUUUCUGGGUUACGCAUGUCUACUGUGUAUGUGCAGGGGUGCCAUGUGUAUGUACCGCGUGUGUGUGUGGGUACUGUGUGUGUGCAUGGAUGCUAUGUGGAUUCACCAUGCACUACCAUGUGUGCAUGAGCACCAUGUGUGUACACUGAGAGUGUAUGUGGCUAGCAGGUGUGUGUACUCUGUGUACCUGAGCACUGUGCGUACCUGUGCACUGAGCCUAUAUAUGGGCAUGUGUUUAUAGCAUGUAUGCAUGUGUGCUAUGUGUAUAUACCAUGCACUUGCACACAUAUACUGUGUGUGCAGCACACCAGAUGCCACAGAUAUGGUGGCGGGAGGGUCAAUGACAGGGAACUGGGGGGAGGCAGGUGUGAGGCAGGCCUGCUUGGGAACAGGUAAAUCACUUAAGGAUGCAGUGCUUUUCAUCUGCUUUGCUGCUCUUUUCCUCUUAAGCAGCAUGCGCUGAGAUUGCAGAAACCUGAAAGAUAGGGAAAGUGUGUAUCCCAUCUCCCCUUCCUGCCUGACUCUCAAGUAAGUUUUCUUUAAGUAUCUUUUUUCUUCAGCUUCAGGAAAAAGAGGACCUUAGAACUGAAGGAGCAAGAUUCCAACAUCACACUGUUUUUGUUAGCUGUGUGUGUGUGUUUCCUGUGUAUCCAAAAGACAGAGGAGAUGAAAAAGCAAAAGAAAAGAAACGAGGAAUCAGAUUGGAAAGAAGGUUUCUCCAGGACGUCACCUGUAUGAGGUACACAGUGUGAUGACACACUCUGUGCUUUUCCUACUUGUGUCCACGUGAGUGUCUGGAGCUGCCCUUCAAGGAGAGCAAUAGAUGAAUGAUUCUGCCUUCCCGCUGAGAGGGAUGUGGGUCCUGCGGAUGGUCGGGGUGAAGCUUCCUCUCCUUUCUGCUGACAGCACUUCCUCAUUAAAUGCAGAGAUCUGCAAAAAGGGAAAAUAAAAACACAAGAAGAAAAAUGAGGCAUCAAAGACCCUCCUCUUAUGCCCAUGGGGAUUUGGAGGACGGGUUAUUUCUUUGCUUUCCCAAAGGGCCCAAGAAGAGCUUCCGGGGAGAGGGAGAGCACCCUUUUUGAGGAUUCCCGACAAGCCUGUCUCCCGAGGGCUCCUGUAGGAGAGGCGGGCUCAAGCCUGGAAGAAGCCUUAGGACGUGGGGGAAAUGUCUAACGUGGAGUCCACCUGCUGAGCAGGACCGGGUGUGAAGGAAGAAGCUUUGUUCUGAUUCCUCAUGGCCCAGCCACCCCUCGCCUGAGCUGAGCCUGGCCACAGGGCCCGCCUGCAGGAAGGGCUGGCCCAUGGCUUCACACUGGGCUCAGGCUGCGCUAAGAGCCCCGGGUGAGGACCUCCAAGCCCAGGAAGCCUCAGUUGGCCAAAGUGCUAGAUGCGUGUGGUCUGCUUUCAUCCCCGCUUCCCUCAGAGCUUGCAUUUUCCAAAUUCAAGAGAGGCUCCACCUUCAAGAAGACCGGCCUGUCCCUGUUAUUUAUGUGUCCCCCUACCAUAUCUCCCUUUGUUCUGCAGAGCGGUACGCAUAAAAAGCUUUUGGGGAAGGGGAGAAGUGUGGCUCAGUGACUUGCACAGGAAAUUGGAAAUUGGAUCCCCAGGUCUACCCCCACUCCUCUGACUCAUGCUUAAACAAACCCAACACAUGCCCUGACCUUUGCUCUCUCCCUCUAUUGCAGGCCAUACCUGCCAGCAGCCUGCUCUCCCGGCCAUGCUGCGGUUCACAAAAGUCCAGCAUUUGGCUAGCUUCCUGGGGGAAUGAAUCUUUCAGAGCCAAACUAAUGCUAUGCAUGCAGCUUAUGAUUUUUUUUUUUUUGUCUUCAACAAAGUGAAUACUUACUUUUUUUUUGCUCUUUAAAUUGUCAUCCAUUAUAUUCAUCAACACAGAGAGAUGGAACAUUUGGCAAAAUUAUUUUAAGUAGCACUCCAACCUGUGAUCGUAAUUUCAAAUCAAGGAAUUUGCUGAGCAGCUGUGGGGAAGAACAAAAGGCCUGAGAGUGAUUUAGGGCCUGGGGGAGGGGAGGCGGUGGAGUUGAAGGCCCCAGCCGGUAGCAGAAACAGCUGGGGAGGUAGGUUGUGCACACCCCGUGGGGGAGCCGGCCUUCUCAGCCCUGCCAUCCCAUCCACACGUGCCUCAUCAGAGAGUUUUCGUCUCCUGAACAUACCACAUGCAGCACUUUAAAAUAGAUAAACUAAGAGGAUUCAGAUUCAGUUUGAUACCCUCGCUGAGAGCUUCGGCUCGGGAGUUGGACAGGCCUGGCCUUGAAUCCUGGCUCUGCCUCUCACCAGCCUCAGUUGCAUCAUCUGUAAAAUGGGGCUAAUGUAGCAAUCACUUCGCAGAUAUUACUAUGAGGUUGAGUGUUUAUUUGACCCAGUCACUGGCAUAGAACAAGUGUUCAAAAUACUAUUAUUAUCACCAAUAUGCAGAAAUGUUCAAUGUAUACACUCGGUUUUUGCAACCAAUUUAUUCAAUGAACAUCUAUUGAGCACCUGUUAUGUGUUAGGUGCAGGGCUGGGUGUUGUGUGGGUACAAACACAUAAAGCAUAGGAAUUAAUAUGCUAUUAGAUAAACUAAAAAGACUUCUAUUGACUUAAAAAGUAAUAAUGACUUCUAAGCAUAUUUAAGUAAUUUACGAAAGAGCCUUUCUUUUUUUUAUUUUUGAGAUGGAGUCUUGCUCUGUCUCUCAGGCUGGAGUGUAAUGGUGCUAUCUCAGCUCACUGCAACCUCUGCCUCCCGGGUUCAAGCAAUUCUUGUGCCUCAGCCUCCAGAGUAGCUGGGUUUAUAGGCGCGUGCCACGACGCCCAGCUAAUUUCUGUGUUUUUAGUAGAAACGGGGUUUCACCAUGUUGCUCAGGCUAUCUUGAACUCAUGACCUCAGGUGAUCCACCUGCCUCGGCCUCCCAAAGUGCUGGGAUUACAGGUGUGAGCCAUUGCACCCGGUCAAAAGAGGCUUUCUUAACAGAUGGUCUAUUAGAAGCAAUUUGAAAAGAAAAUAUAGAGUUGAAAAAAAUAAAAGGGAAGCUGCAUUCUUUUUAAUUGUUUUUGAACUUGUUGCUUUUCAACACAGCUAUUAUCUAAAUUAACUUAAUUUCUUAAAAUAAGCCCUGCUUGAUACCCGGGAACCUUCAAUCAACUAAUUUGCAGAUAAUCAGACCUAUUUACAAAUAGUCUGGUUUGUCUGAGUGACUUUCAGUGACACAUGCAUACUCAGAAAGGGUAUCAUUUGCCAGGGAUUAGUCAGUUCUGCUGAAUUACAGUCUUCAGAAUGAGAAGUCAUCUAGUUCAACCUUUCAUCCUUUUAAUAGAAUUUCUGGUGGAUAACAGCUGAGCUUCUCCUCCGACUCUGCUAGGAAUGGAGAACUUACUACUUCAAAACGUAGAUGCUGCCUGGGUUGAGCAGCUCUAAAUGUUCAAGAUGGAAUCAUUAAUAGGAAACUAAUUGAAAAGAAUUUGCAUAGCACGUCUCAAGGACAAAAAUCCCUUCUGUUGUUUUUUCCUUUUGUCUUGGUCUGCAUCUCUGUCAUUUGGUGGUGUUUGGACUGCCUGUCUGUCUUCCCUUUUUACUCCGAGCGGCGGCCUGCCCUCUGCCCCCUGCCCCCAGGGGAACAACAAUGGCCCUGAUCACAAUUGGGUGGCCAAGCAUAUCAUGCCGUGGAAGUUUGGAGCCAACACUCAGUUCCAGUUGCUCCUCUCCUUAUUCUCUAGGGUGGCUCCACUAGGUUCUGCUUUCUCAGAAAACAGCAGUGAACUUUGUUCAGCCGAAACCCUAUUUCCCAAGCUGAUACUUGCUCACUGGCCUCCCCUCCUCCAGCUGCUCCCAACUGCUGACCACUUCUUGAGCGCACUGCUAGCUGCUUCUGCUGUUCCAGCACUUCCUGGAAGGCAGCUGCAAGCAGCCGAGGCAGAUGGAGCCCAAGCCCUGUUGCUUGUGGUCUUGGCUUACUGAGCCUGAAUCCACGACCGGAUCAUUAGAAAAGGGACGGUGUGUGUGCCUACCUUUGAAGCCAGUAGGCCAAAAGAAGGGUGAGCAGGACAGCGCCAUAACACCUAGAGUUACUGUGUUUGGUUCACACUUCUGGUUUCCUGCAGAAUUGCUAGAAUUUUUAAAAAAAGGAAGCAGCAAGUUGAGAGCAACUAAAGUAAAAAGAGAAAAGUGAUACAAAGGGAAAGGUUUAUUUUUGGAGCUCUUAGAUUCUGAAACUCCUUCUGACUCUUUUAUCCUUUUACCUCUCCCUUUCUCCUCACUGGGCUCUUUGUCCUCAUGGGGACUGUGCAUCUCUGGUCUCACUCUAGCUCUGGGUCCCUUAGGCUCUUCUGGUUUUCUGGCUCCUGGAGUGAGCCCUUUCAAUGAGGCCCUCCCUCAAUUUCCCAUCCCUCUUGUUCUUCUGCCAUCCAGACUCAUCACAGCCCAAAUCUGAGACCAGCUGGCUGCACCGCUGGCUACUCAGAGCGGCUGGAGACAGCCAUGCCCUGGGGCGACUUGUUCCAUGGUGAUCUGACUGGUUCAUGCAGGGGUCUCGGACCUCACGGACCUCAUCAGGAGCAUCAAAUGGGGUUUUUUUUGGCCGGAAUGAUAUUUAAAACAAUUUGAUUUAGUUAUGAGCAUUUAAGAAAUAGGAGGUCACCAGAAAAUCCAGAGUUUUAGCUCGGCAAGCAGAGAUGGAGAGCUGGCGGUACCCGGUCUUUACCCAUUCUGGAAGGACCACUGGCUGGAGCUGAGAGGCAGUGGCUUCUCUGACAUGGGGCAUACACUCCAUUUUGCUACCUUCUCUGCAACAACAGAGAGUGUCUUCCUGGACCCCAAACUGAGAAUCAGAUGCCUUUAAUCAACGGGCUUGCUUCCUCCCACUCCCCAGACAACCUGAUUCAUGAGAUGCCUGCCUGUUCCCCGUGGGCAUCUGAGUUUGCAGCCCAUGCUCAGUAGAGUUUAUUCGGCAAUCCUUUUCCUGACCUAUAGCAGACUCCUAGCCCACCACAUUUCUAAUGCAGCUGUUGCAAGUCUUGUCCAGACCUUUCAGACCCUUGAUCUCUCCGGGAGAUUGUGCCUCAUACAUUAUUGAAAAGAUUGAGGCCACACAACAUGUGCUCUAAUGCCUCAGCUUUCUGCCUUUCUGCUUCUAAGGUCUCUGUUCUCUCUCCAUUCCGUCCUCCUUCCCUCCUUUCUGACUCUCUUUUUCUUUUUUUCAUCACUUUUAAAAAUUGUAAAAUAGAAUGUACGUACAGAAAAAGGAGGCCGAGGCAGGAGAAUCACUUGAACCUGGGAGACAGAGGUUGCAGUGAGGCGAGAUCACGCAUUGCACUCCAGCCUGGGCAAUAAGAGUGAAACUCUGUCUCAACAAAAAAGAAAAACAAAAAAGAACCAAAAAAAACCCCCCAAAACCAAAGAUAUACAGUUCAGUGAUUUAUCACAAAGUCAACACCAGUGUCAUUAUCAGCCUGAUCGAGAACUAGAACUCUGCCCUCCCUCACCCUGGACGUACUCUUCAUUCCCCCGUCCACCUCUACCCUCCCUCCCUAUCAGAGGCGACCAUUAUCCUGACUUUUUAUGUAAAGCAUCUUUGUUUAUCUUUACCACCUAAAUAUAUAUAUAAACAGAUGUUUAUAGCAGUUUUAUUCAUAACUGUAAAAACUUGAAAGCAACCAAGAUGUCCUUUAGUAGGUGAAUAGAUAAUAAACUGGGAUACAUUCAGGCAAUGCACCAUUAUUCAGUCCUCAAAAGAAAUGAGCUAUCAAGCCAUGACAUGAUAUGGAAGAACUUUAAAUGCAUAUUACUAAGUGAAAGAAGACAGUCUGAAAAGACUAUAUGCUGUGUGAUUCCAACUAUAUGUCAUUGUGGAAAAGGCAAAACUGCAGAGGCAGUAAAAGGAUCAGUAAUUGGCCGGGCGCAGUGGCUUACAUCUGUAAUCCAAGCACUUGGGGAGGCUGAGGCGGGCGGACCAUGAGGUCAGGAGAUCCAGGCCAUCCUGGCUAACACGGUGAAACUCCGUCUCUACUAAAAAUUCAAAAAAUUAGCUAGGCGUGGUGGCAUGCGCCUGUAGUCCCAGUUACUCGGGAGGCUGAGGCAGGAGAAUCGCUUGAACUCGAGAGGCGGAGGUUUCAGUGAGCCAAGAUGGCGCCACUGCACUCCAGCCUGGGCAACAGAGCAAGACUCCGUCUCACACACACAAAAAAAGAAUCAGUAAUUGCCAGGGAUUAGGGGGAGGGAGGGAUCAAACAGUGCAGCACAGAGGGUUUUUAGCACAGUGAACUACUCUGUAUGAUACUAUCAUGAUGGGCACCUGUCAUUAAACAUUUGUCAAAACUUGUAGAAUGUACAAGACCAAGAGAGAACCCUAAUGUGAACUAUGGAUCCUGGGCGAUACCGAUGUGCCAGUGUAGGCUCAUGGAUUGUAACAAACACACAGCCCAGGUGGGGGAUGUUGACAGUGGGGAAGGCUGUGCUAUGUGGGGGGCAGAGGGUAUAUGAGAUAUCUCUGUACCUUCUGUUCAAUUUUGCUGUGAACCUAAAACUGCUCUAAAAAAAUAAAAUCUUAAAAAAAAGGAAAAAAGUCUCUUUAAAUGCUAAGAUUUAGUUUUUGGCUAAACUAAACUUUAGCAUUUCAAUGCUAAAGGCUGUUUUUUUUUUUUUAACUUUAUAUAAAUGUAACUAAACAGUGUGUAUUCUUUCAUGCGCCGCACUUUUUACUCAACAUUAUACUUGUGAAAAUCAUCCAGGUUGUCAUGUGUAGGUGUAGUUUGCAGUUUUUAUCAGUGGAUAGUAUUACAUUAAAGAAAUGGCAUAAUUUGUCUGUCUAUUCUACUCUUGACGGACAUUUAGGUUGUUUCCAGUCUAGGGCUAUUAUAAAUGACGCUUCUGUGAUCAUCCUUGCUCUUGUGUGCUGGUGGAGGCAUAUGUGUGUUUCUGAGGGUAUUACUCUGAGCCUGGAGUCUUCUUUGUGGAAAGGUUUAAAUUAUCAAUUCAGUUUAUUGAAUGGUUAUUGGGUUAGUUAAGAUUUACAUACUUUCUUGUGUCCAUUUUUGAUAAAUUUUCUUUUUAAGGGAUUCACCAAUUUAUCUAAAUUUGCAAAAUGUUUUGGCAUAAAACUAUUCAUAAUACUUUCUUAUGAUCUUUAAUAAAGAUGGUUCUGUUGUGAUGUCUCUUUAUCAUGCCUGACAUUGAUUAUUUUAAUCUUCUUUUUCUUUCUUUUGCC